GGACGCAUAGCUCAGCUGGGAGAGCACCUGCCUUACAAGCAGGGGGUCACAGGUUCGAGCCCUGUUGUGUCCACCA
rnacentral:tRNA from 1 species